GGAGAUAUUGCUUGGUAGUAGAGCACUUGUCUAGCAUGUGCAAGAGAGAGAGACCCUGGGUUCCAACCCCAGUACUUCCC
rnacentral:tRNA from 1 species